GAGCUUGUUUCAGCAGCACAUAUACUAAAAUUGGAAUGAUACAGAAAAGAUUAAUGAGAUCCCUGUGCGAGGAUGGUACUCAAAUUCAUGAAGCAGUCCAUAUUUUU